GUGCCAGCAGCCGCGGUAAUACGUAGGGGGCAAGCGUUGUUCGGAAUUACUGGGCGUAAAGGGCGCGUAGGCGGUACGACAAGUCUGGAGUGAAAGCCCGGGGCUCAACCCCGGAAUGUCUUUGGAAACUGUCGAACUUGAGUGCGGAAGAGGCAUCUGGAAUUCCCAGUGUAGCGGUGAAAUGCGUAGAUAUUGGGAAGAACACCUGAGGCGAAGGCGGGAUGCUGGGCCGACACUGACGCUGAGGCGCGAAAGCCAGGGGAGCGAACGGGAUUAGAAACCCUAGUAGUCC
rnacentral:rRNA from 1 species